UCGUCAAAUAAUAUACAAAAUGGCACAA
rnacentral:sRNA from 1 species